rnacentral:rRNA from 1 species
GACGAACGCUGGCGGCGUGCUUAACACAUGCAAGUCGUACGGUAAGGCCCUUUCGGGGGUACACGAGUGGCGGACGGGUGGGUAACACGUGAGUAACCUGCCCACAACUUUGGGAUAACUCUAGGAAACUGGUUCUAAUACUUGCUAUGUGCUCGUGCUGCAUGCUGGGGGUUGGAAAGCUCCGGCGGUUGUGGAUGGACUCGCGGCCUAUCAGCUUGUUGGUGGGGUAGUGGCCUACCAAGGCGGCGACGGGCAGCCGGCCUGGGAGGGUGACCGGCCACAUUGGGACUGAGAUACGGGCCAGACCCCCACGGGGGGGAGCAGUGGGGAAUAUUGCACAAUGGGCGGAAGCCUGAUGCAGCAACGCCGGGGGCGGGAUGACGGCCUUCGGGUUGUAAACCGUCUUCAGCAGGGACGAAGCUUUUUGUGACGGUACCUGCAGAAGAAGCACCGGCUAACUACGUG